GUAGUCAUAUGCUUGUCUCAAAGAUUAAGCCAUGCAUGUGUAAGUAUAAGCGAUUGUACUGUGAGACUGCGAACGGCUCAUUAUAUCAGUAAUAAUUUCUUCGGUAGUUUCUUUUAUAUGGAUACCUGCAGUAAUUCUGGAAAUAAUACAUGCUGUAAGAGCCCUGUAUGGGGCUGCACUUAUUAGAUUGAAGCCGAUUUUAUUGGUGAAUCAUGAUAAUUGAGCAGAUUGACUUUUUUGGUCGAUGAAUCGUUUGAGUUUCUGCCCCAUCAGUUGUCGACGGUAGUGUAUUGGACUACGGUGACUAUAACGGGUGACGGAGAGUUAGGGCUCGACUCCGGAGAGGGAGCCUGAGAGACGGCUACCAUAUCCAAGGAUAGCAGCAGGCGCGUAAAUUACCCACUGUGGACUCCACGAGGUAGUGACGAGAAAUAUCGAUGCGAAGCGUGUUUGCGUUUUGCUAUCGGAAUGAGAGCAAUGUAAAACCCUCAUCGAGGAUCAACUGGAGGGCAAGUCUGGUGCCAGCAGCCGCGGUAAUUCCAGCUCCAGAAGCAUAUGCUAAAGUUGUUGCAGUUAAAAAGCUCGUAGUUGAAUUUCUGGCAUGGGCGACCGGUGCUUUCCCUGAAUGGGGAUUGAUUGUCUGUGUUGCCUUGGCCAUCUUUCUCAUGCUAUUUUUGGUAUGAGAUCUCUCACUGUAAUCAAAGCAGAGUGUUCCAAGCAGGUCGUAUGACCGGUAUGUUUAUUAUGGGAUGAUAAGAUAGGACUUGGGUGCUAUUUUGUUGGUUUGCACGCCUGAGUAAUGGUUAAUAGGAACAGUUGGGGGUAUUCGUAUUUAGGAGCUAGAGGUGAAAUUCUUGGAUUUCCGAAAGACGAACUAGAGCGAAGGCAUUUACCAAGCAUGUUUUCAUUAAUCAAGAACGAAAGUCUGGGGAUCGAAGAUGAUUAGAUACCAUCGUAGUCUAGACCGUAAACGAUGCCGACUUGCGGUUGUUGGGUGCUUUUUUAUGGGCCUCAGCAGCAGCACAUGAGAAAUCAAAGUCUUUGGGUUCCGGGGGGAGUAUGGUCGCAAGGCUGAAACUUAAAGGAAUUGACGGAAGGGCACCACCAGGAGUGGAGCCUGCGGCUUAAUUUGACUCAACACGGGAAAACUUACCAGGUCCAGACAUAGGUAGGAUUGACAGAUUGAGAGCUCUUUCAUGAUUCUAUGGGUGGUGGUGCAUGGCCGUUCUUAGUUGGUGGAGUGAUUUGUCUGGUUAAUUCCGUUAACGAACGAGACCUCGGCCUACUAAAUAGUGCGUGGUAUGGCAACAUAGUACGUUUUUACUUCUUAGAGGGACAUGUCCGGUUUACGGGCAGGAAGUUCGAGGCAAUAACAGGUCUGUGAUGC
rnacentral:rRNA from 1 species